ACAAGCAGAGGCGCAGACUUGCAACUAAUGUUUAUUCCACAAAGACCACAUAUAAUUAGAAAAAAAGCGAGUG
rnacentral:lncRNA from 1 species